UACUUUUGCAGCCGUUACUCAAUAGCUGUGUAACAUACAUAAUAAUCAUUUAAAUAAUAUUGGAAUG
rfam:Flavobacteria bacterium GWA2_35_26 gwa2_scaffold_4, whole genome shotgun sequence.